rfam:Triticum aestivum genome assembly, contig: Triticum_aestivum_CS42_TGACv1_scaffold_113949_2AS
AUGAUACUCCCUCUGUCCGGAAAUACUUGUCAUCAAAAUGGAUAAAAAGGGAUGUAUCUAGAACUAAAAUACGUCUAGAUAUAUCUCUUUUAUUUAUUUUGAUGACAAGUAUUUCUAGAUGAAGGGAGUAUAAG